AUGCAUGGUACCCAGCAGAGCAUCUAUGUUGCUAUUAAAGCGCAUGGUGGAAUUGAGAAUUUGAUCCAGAAUCUGCCUGGUGCUCGGACUGAGACCCCAUUGGAUCAAUUUGCCAUUUACCCGAUAAAUGAUCCGAGUGUGGGCAACUAUUAUUUUUCAUUUACAAAUAUAACUUUGUAUAUACUGUUCAUUGUCGCUUUGGUCAUUUUUCUGUUUUUUGUUGUUAUGAAAAAGGGAGGUGGAAAGUCAGUGCCAAAUUCAUGGCAAUCCUUGGUCGAGGUUAUUUACGAUUUCAUGUUGAGCCUAGUAAACAAACAAAUAGGUGGUCUUUCCGGAUGUGUGAAACAAAAGUUUUUUCUACUUUUACUUUUUCAUUAUUUCAUCAUUAUUGAAUGUAUUUUUCUUUCUUAUGCUUUGCCUUUCUCGUUUUCCGUACCUUUCAUACUAGUUACUCGCCACUAG
rnacentral:rRNA from 1 species